rnacentral:lncRNA from 10 species
UCUCACUGGUGUUCCAGGUGCCACUGGGGUAUGAAGAAAAACUCCUGCAGCCAGCUGGGUGUCUGCCCAAACGGCUGCCCAGUUUUGUGCUUGAAACCCAGGGCCCUGGUGGUGUAGGCACCCCAGGGAAUAUCCUGGUCUGCCGGUUGCAAAGACCGUGGGAAAAGCGUAGUAUCUGGGCCGAAUGCACCGUCCCUCAGGGCACAGUCCCUCAUGGCUUCCCUUGGCUGGCGGAGGGACUUCUCUGACCCCUUGCGCUUCCUGGAUGAGGCAACACCCCACCCUGCUUUGGCUUGCCCUCCAUGUGCUGCACGCACUGUCUAACCAGUCUCAGUGAGAUGAGCCAGGUACCUCAGUUGGAAAUGCAGAAAUCACCCACCUUCUGCAUUGAUCUCGCUGGGAACUGCAGACUGAAGCGGUUCCUAUUUGGCCACCUUGCCAGCCCAUCUCGAACAUCAUCUAAAAGGACUGGACCUACAUCUGCAGUUAACUGCACAAUGGAAGAAACGGCCUCUCCUGGGCAGCCUCAUGGAUGGGGUGAAGAGACAAAGCUUGGGAGUGUAGCAUGUUGAGCACAUCUGCUCAGAGGCACUCCUUACAGGGCAAGUUCAUCUCCAGAGCAGAACCCUCACCCAUCAGGAGGUUGCCUUGGGAGAUAACAGUUGAUUGACAACCCAGCAUAUGCCUGCUAGAGUUUUUGGCUGCAUUUACAGCCUGUUUCUGCCCAUGAAGAAGCCAACUCGAAUGCCCGGUAGAUAAGGCACCAAAAUAUCAGCUGAGGUUUCCCAAGCUCCCUAAAAUCUACAGAAGUUCGGCUCAAACCCCUAUCCCAGAUGCUGGAGAUGACCAAGUUCUCCAGAAACACGUAGCAAAUUCCAGGGUGGGAAGGAGAAUCUGAGCAAGGAGACAACGAUUACAUUCUCAUGGUCACUUGUCUCUUGAGCUAGUGCUUUAUUGGAAUUAGUUUAUUCUGUUAAGAGUUUCCCAAAUGUCCUGUCUUUAUGUUACACUCACAACAAAACAGACAUAAAGCACUGGCUUAGCCUCCAGUUCCACAGGAGCCUCAUCAACCCAUGCCUUCAACUGACGCCUAAGCUGAGACUAAAGAAGAUGGUAACCAAGUGAAGAGAUGGAGGUUUGGAGUGUCCAAGCAGAGAAACUACAUGUGGAAAUGCAUCGAAGCAAGAAAGAGCAUGACAUCUUCUUAGUACUGAAAGAAAAUACGACUGGACUUCAAAUAUUUUCUCAUUCGUGGGGUUAAGAGGAGGAAGGCGGUCCUGGAGACAAUGGCUUUGCCCUGAAGAAGACCAUGCUGUUGAACACCAUAUAAAUGAUGUGGCAGUGAGAGCCGAAGGCUGUGGGAUCUGAGAGCUGGCUCAGCCUCACUGCCCACCAGUCAUGGGAUCUUGGUGAAAUCACCAAUUCCUCUGAGCCCCAGUUUCCUCAUCUGUAACGUGGAUUUCAUAAAAAUCACUUCUUGUAUUGUAAGCGUUGAAAGCAUGAAUAUACAUAUAAUGUAAAUAAUUUCUCAUUGGAUAAAUCACAUGAAAAGUACUCAAUAAAUAAAACAUUAUUGUUUG